GACGAACGCUGGCGGCGUGCUUAACACAUGCAAGUCGAACGGAAAGGCCCUGCUUUUGUGGGGUGCUCGAGUGGCGAACGGGUGAGUAACACGUGAGUAACCUGCCCUUGACUUUGGGAUAACUUCAGGAAACUGGGGCUAAUACCGGAUAGGAGCUCCUGCUGCAUGGUGGGGGUUGGAAAGUUUCGGCGGUUGGGGAUGGACUCGCGGCUUAUCAGCUUGUUGGUGGGGCAGUGGCUUACCAAGGCUUUGACGGGUAGCCGGCCUGAGAGGGUGGCCGGCCACAUUGGGACUGCGAUACGGCGCAGACGCCUACGGGAGGCAGCAGUGGGGAAUAUUGCACAAUGGGCGGAAGCCUGAUGCAGCAACGCCGCGUGCGGGAUGACGGCCUUCGGGUUGUAAACCGCUUUCGCCUGUGACGAAGCGUGAGUGACGGUAAUGGGUAAAGAAGCACCGGCUAACUACGUG
rnacentral:rRNA from 1 species